GAUGAACGCUGGCGGCGUGCCUAAUACAUGCAAGUCGAGCGAAGCGGGGACGGGUGAGUAAUACGUGGAUAACCUCCUAUAAGACUGGGAUACCUUCGGGAAACCUGAUCUAAACCCGUUACUUAUAGAUUGAUCCGGGCUGCAUUGGCUAGUUGGUAAGGUAACGGCUUACCAAGGCAACGAUGCAUAGCCGACCUGAGAGGGUGAUCGGCCACACUGGAACUGAGACACGGUCCAGACUCCUACGGGAGGCAGCAGUGGGGAAUCUUCCGCAAUGGGCGAAAGCCUGACGGAGCCACGCCGCGUGAGUGAAGAAGGUCUUCGGAUCGUAAAGCACUGUAAGUAGGGAGGCGGUACCUAAAGAGAAAGCAACGGCUAACUACGUGCCAGCAGCCGCGGUAAUAC
rnacentral:rRNA from 1 species